rnacentral:lncRNA from 1 species
UCCCUUUGUCAAGAAGAAAAGCAUGUGGUUUUGCCAACUGCAACUGUUACAAAACAAUAAAACAUACUCAUAACACCAUCUGGAAUAACUGACCAACUAACCCCCUUCCUCUCUCACUGAGUAGGCAGGGCAUAUCUAAUUUGUCUGUUCGCUGCUCGUAUGCCACAUUUCAGUAGGAAGUGGAGGAAGGAGACCGCUUCCUCUGUGGAGGAAGGAGGCAGCAGAGGAUACCUGGGAGACAUCUGAGGAUCCCAAAGACAUCUGAUGGCAGAACGUGGUGGGCUGAGGAAGACAGAACUUGUUGCAAUUCAGAAAGGAGCGAACUGUUUUUCACCAAACUGAAAACAAAGAGGGAUGUAAGGCUUUCUGAUCUUUUGGGGGAGCUCAUUAUCAAAAGUCUGUCUUAUCUUGAAGAUCUGUCCAGGGAAAAUGCUGGUGCCCAUAAAGUUAUUGCUGAAGAAAACAAGCAGAAGAACAAAUUUCUAUAUGCCACAGAAGAAGAGAAACUCUUGAGAGCAAACUUCCUGUUACUGUUUUAGGUUAUUCUCUUGCAGAAGUUGCAAUUACCUCUGUGUCAACAAUUUAAUUACAGAGUUUGCCAUGAACACUGAGUGACAUCCUUUCACUGAAGAUUCACAAGAAGAGAGAGAGGUGAUAACAGGAGUCACACAAUGUCUGAGAGACAGGUAGCGGUUUUCUGAACAGCAAGGUCGUGCACAGAUGUUUUUCCGUACUGUUACAGAUAUCUAUUUAUAAAGCAAUGCUGAAGAAAAAGAAAAAGCUAAUUCAAAAGUUUCCUAGCAAUGGAUGCGCAGUGUCAUUUUGCAGUAACAGCAGACCAGCGUAAGCUGUGCAGUGGUUUAGUGAGGUGCAUGGGGAAGGCUGGAAGGGAAAGGAUAGAAGUGAGAUUGACAGCAGGGAUUUCCCCCUCCCUCCUUCCCUAAAGUCUUUGCUAAUCCUAUGGGCUACAUCAGCCAUCCCCAGUCUACCCCCAUCCCCAGAUCCAGCACAGCAUUCUCUAUGUCCUUUUCACCUUCCAAAUUCCCCUUGCCUGGUUUUAGAAAAAAUAAAAUAACCCUGACAAAUGUUAGCA